AGUCGAACGAAGCACUUCGGACAGAUUCUUCGGAUGAAGUCCUUAGUGACUGCGUUGCGGACGGGUGAGUAACGCGUGGGUAACCUGCCUCAUACAGGGGGAUAACAGUUAGAAAUGGCUGCUAAUACCGCAUAAGCGCACGGUACCGCAUGGUACAGUGUGAAAAACUCCGGUGGUAUGAGAUGGACCCGCGUUGGAUUAGCUAGUUGGCAGGGUAGCGGCCUACCAAGGCGACGAUCCAUAGCCGGCCUGAGAGGGUGGACGGCCACAUUGGGACUGAGACACGGCCCAGACUCCUACGGGAGGCAGCAGUGGGGAAUAUUGCACAAUGGAGGAAACUCUGAUGCAGCGAUGCCGCGUGAGGGAAGAAGGUUUUAGGAUUGUAAACCUCUGUCUUCAGGGACGAAAAAAAGACGGUACCUGAGGAGAAAGCUCCGGCUAACUACGUGCCAGCAGCCGCGGUAAUACGUAGGGAGCGAGCGUUGUCCGGAAUUACUGGGUGUAAAGGGAGCGUAGGCGGGACGGCAAGUCAGAUGUGAAAACUAUGGGCUCAACCCAUAGACUGCAUUUGAAACUGUUGUUCUUGAGUGAGGUAGAGGUAAGCGGAAUUCCUGGUGUAGCGGUGAAAUGCGUAGAGAUCAGGAGGAACAUCGGUGGCGAAGGCGGCUUACUGGGCCUUUACUGACGCUGAGGCUCGAAAGCGUGGG
rnacentral:rRNA from 1 species